rnacentral:rRNA from 1 species
GACGAACGCUGGCGGCGUGCUUAACACAUGCAAGUCGAACGGAAAGGCCCUGCUCUUGUGGGGUGCUCGAGUGGCGCACGGGUGAGUAACACGUGAGUAUCCUGCCCUUGACUUUGGGAUAACUUCAGGAAACUGGGGCUAAUACCGGAUAGGAGCUCCUGCUGCAUGGUGGGGGUUGGAGAGUUUCGGCGGUUGGGGAUGGACUCGCGGGUUAUCAGCUUGUUGGUGGGGUAGUGGCUUACCAAGGCUUCGACGGGUAGCCGGCCUGGGAGGGUGGCCGGCCACAUUGGGACUGAGAGACGGCCCAGACGCCUACGUGAGGCAGCAGGGGGAAAUAUUACACAAUGGGCGGAAGCCUGAUGCAGCAGCGCCGCGUGCGUGAUGACGGCCUUCGGGGUGUAAACCGCUGUCGCCUGUGACGAAGCGUGAGUGACGGUAAUGAGUAAAGAAGCACCGGCUAACUACGUG